UGGGGAAUAUUGGACAAUGGGCGCAAGCCUGAUCCAGCCAUGCCGCGUGAGUGAUGAAGGCCUUAGGGUUGUAAAGCUCUUUUGUCCGGGAAGAUAAUGACUGUACCGGAAGAAUAAGCACCGGCUAACUAUCGUG
rnacentral:rRNA from 1 species